AAUAUUGCACGAAUGGGGGAAACCCUGAUGCAGCCAUGCCGCGUGUGUGAAGAAGGCCUUCGGGUUGUAAAGCACUUUCAGUAGGGAGGAAGGUAGUGUAGUUAACACCUGCAUUAUUUGACGUUACCUACAGAAGAAGCACCGGCUAACUCCGUGCCAGCAGCCGCGGUAAUACGGAGGGUGCGAGCGUCAAUCGGAAUUACUGGGCGUAAAGCGCAUGCAGGCGGCCUGUUAAGUCAGAUGUGAAAGCCCCGGGGCUUAACCUCGGAAUUGCAUUUGAAACUGGCAGGCUAGAGUCUUGUAGAGGGGGUAGAAUUUCAGGUGUAGCGGUGAAAUGCGUAGAGAUCUGAAGGAAUACCAGUGGCGAAGGCGGCCCCCUGGACAAAGACUGACGCUCAGAUGCGAAAGCGUGGGGAGCAAACAGGAUUAGAUACCCUGGUAG
rnacentral:rRNA from 1 species